rnacentral:sRNA from 1 species
GGCUGAGAAACAUGUUUUGACAUUGGUCACCCACUAUUCACAGAGGUAGUUUGGCUGAUCUUGUUGUCUAGGCUGGUGUCCCCUUCCUUCUCCACAUUUCAUCUAUAUCCAUCUAGAAGCUCUUUGUGCAAAGUUGAAAAGGACCUCGGUAGAGGAGUAGCUGUAUAUCCCUGCUCAUACUGCCAGACAAGCUCUCAAGGCUGAACUUUACAAUGGAAGAAACUCUGUUUUAGUUUCUUGUCUUGCGAUUUUCUAUACAACCAA